GGGGAAUAUUGGACAAUGGGCGAUGUGAGCCUGAUCCAGCAAUUCUGUGUGCACGAGGAAGGUUUUCGGAUUGUAAAGUGCUUUCAGCAGGGAAGAAGGAGAUGACGGUACCUGCAGAAGAAGCGACGGCUAAAUACGUGCCAGCAGCCGCGGUAAUACGUAUGUCGCGAGCGUUAUCCGGAAUUAUUGGGCAUAAAGGGCAUCUAGGCGGCUGAUUAAGUCUGAGGUGAAAACUUCGGCUCAACCGAGAGCCUGCCUUGGAAACUAAUGCAGCUGGAGUACUGGAGAGGUGGACGGAACUACACGAGUAGAGGUGAAAUUCGUAGAUAUGUGUAGGAAUGCCGAUGAUGAAGAUAGUCCACUGGACAGAAACUGACGCUGAAGUGCGAAAGCUAGGGGAGCGAAC
rnacentral:rRNA from 1 species